UUCCUCCCUUCACAUUCCCUUCCAGUAUGCAGUAAGAACAAGGCUAUUUGCUGUGCUGCUUUGAUAAUCAUAUAGUAGCUCAAAGGAAAGGAAGGGAUUCUAGAAAUCAUCCUUGGUUUUACUGUAGGCAUCUUAGCAUGGAAUUGGCAAAUAAAGUGGGAAAAGCUGGCAUCUUUACCUACUGAUGCUUUCAAGUACACAGACACUGGAGAAAAAGAGGAAUGCAUAUGAUGUUUCAUCAACGGCAGCAGAAGCCAUAUUAAUGACAAGGCAUUACAUAUUUUAUGCACAGCCAAUAUUUUAUUAGAAAAGACUGAAAAUACUACCUUAAAAUCUGAAUGAAUUUAAGCUUCAUCCGCAGUUUGGGAGUGAAAUGAAAGCAACAUCAUGAAAAUAUGUCCCUUAUAAAUGGUCAGUAGGGCAUCUUCAUGUUGCAGUUGGAGGAAUAUCAGUCUGAACCCCAAGGAAAACAAAUAAAAGAAGCAGAAAGCUACCUGAGAAAAAGAUAAAACAUAAAAAGUAAAUUGAGCAUAAAAAGAAUAGAAUAUGCAGAGAUAUACUUGUACUGAAAUGAUUUAUAACUGGAAAUAUUCUACAAAUGACAUUGAGAAGAUUCAGGAGCAUGAAUAAGGAAAAAAAGUCCAGUCAUUAGCAUUAAAAACAACAUUUCCCUCAUGAA